rnacentral:rRNA from 1 species
AUUGAACGCUGGCGGCGUGCUUAACACAUGCAAGUCGAACGGUGAAGCAGGAGCUUGCUCUUGUGGAUCAGUGGCGAACGGGUGAGUAACACGUGAGCAACCUGCCCCUGACUCUGGGAUAAGCGCUGGAAACGGCGUCUAAUACUGGAUAUGUGAUGUGACCGCAUGGUCUGCAUCUGGAAAGAAUUUCGGUUGGGGAUGGGCUCGCGGCCUAUCAGCUUGUUGGUGAGGUAAUGGCUCACCAAGGCGUCGAUGGGUAGCCGGCCUGGGAGGGUGACCGGCCACACUGGACUGAGACACGGCCCAGACUCCUACGGGAGGCAGCAGUGGGGAAUAUUGCACAAUGGGCGGAAGCCUGAUGCAGCAACGCCGCGUGAGGGAUGACGGCCUUCGGGUUGUAAACCUCUUUUAGCAGGGAAGAGGCGAAAGUGACGGUACCUGCAGAAAAAGCACCGGCUAACUACGUGCCAGCCGCCGCGGUAA